rnacentral:rRNA from 1 species
UACAGAGGGGGCCAGCGUUAUUCGGAAUUAUUGGGCGUAAAGGGCGCGUAGGCGGCUUUGCGUGUCUUUCGUGAAAUCCCUCGGCUCAACUGAGGACGUGCGGAAGAAACUGCAGGGCUGGAGUCCGGGAGAGGAGGGUGGAAUUCCCAGUGUAGCGGUGAAAUGCGUAGAUAUUCGGAAGAACACCAGUGGCGAAGGCGACUUACUGGACACAUAUUGACGCUGAGGUGCGAAAGCGUGGGGAGCAAACAGG